rnacentral:sRNA from 1 species
GCCAGAGAUAGCGCCCAUUGGGUGAACUUUGGUUUUUUGUGUAGUUUUCCGGUGGAACUUUGGUCGGUGUCACCGGACGUAUGGGCCGCCUUGCGCGGCUUUUACGUUAA